AGGCUAGCAGCACAGAUACUAAAAUGGGAACGAUACCGAGAUUAGCAUGGCCCUUGGACAAGGAUGACAGACAAAUCCGUGAAGCAUUCCAUAAUAAA
rnacentral:snRNA from 1 species